rnacentral:rRNA from 1 species
AGUGAACGCUGGCGGCAGGCCUAACACAUGCAAGUCGAGCGGCAGCGCGGGGGCAACCCUGGCGGCGAGCGGCGGACGGGUGAGGAAUUCGUCGGAAUCUGCCUUUUUGUGGGGGAUAACGUAGGGAAACUUACGCUAAUACCGCAUACGUGCUACGGGAGAACGUGGGGGACCGCAAGGCCUCACGCAGAAAGAUGAGCCGACGACCGAUUAGCUAGUUGGUGGGGUAAAGGCCCACCAAGGCGACGAUCGGUAGCUGGUCUGAGAGGAUGAUCAGCCACACUGGGACUGAGACACGGCCCAGACUCCUACGGGAGGCAGCAGUGGGGAAUAUUGGACAAUGGGCGCAAGCCUGAUCCAGCCAUGCCGCGUGUGUGAAGAAGGCCUUCGGGUUGUAAAGCACUUUUGUCCGGAAAGAAAUCCCUGGAGCUAAUACCUUCGGGGGAUGACGGUACCGGAAGAAUAAGCACCGGCUAACUUCGUG